rnacentral:rRNA from 1 species
GACGAACGCUGGCGGCGUGCUUAACACAUGCAAGUCGAACGGAAAGGCCCUGCUUUUGUGGGGUGCUCGAGUGGCGAACGGGUGAGUAACACGUGAGUAACCUGCCCUUGACUUUGGGAUAACUUCAGGAAACUGGGGCUAAUACCGGAUAGGAGCUCCUGCUGCAUGGUGGGGGUUGGAAAGUUUCGGAGGUUGGGGAUGGACUCGCGGCUUAUCAGCGUGUUGGUGGGGUAGUGGCGUACCAAGGCUUUGACGGGUAGCCGGCCUGAGAGGGUGACCGGCCACAUUGGGACUGAGAUACGGCCCAGACUCCUACGGGAGGCAGCAGUGGGGAAUAUUGCACAAUGGGCGGAAGCCUGAUGCAGCAACGCCGCGUGCGGGAUGACGGCCUUCGGGUUGUAAACCGCUUUCGCCUGUGACGAAGCGUGAGUGACGGUAAUGGGUAAAGAAGCACCGGCUAACUACGUG